rnacentral:RNase_P_RNA from 1 species
AAAUUGAAUAGUCGCUGGUAACUUCCGAAAGGAACUACGAGAGGAAAGUCCGGGCUCCAUAGAGCAAUGAUGCUAGAUAACGUCUAGUAGGGGUGACCCUAAGGAAAGUGCAACAGAAAAUAACCGCCUCUUUAAUAGUUUGGCUAUGCCAUUCUUAUUAUGUUCGAGGGAGAAAUCCUGAUGUUCGCUAAGAGGUAAGGAUGAAAAGGCGAGGUAAGAGCUCACCGGUUCUAUGGUGACAUAGAAUGCUGUGUAAACCCCAUCUGGAGCAACACCUAACAAAGAAGAUUAAGCCUGCUCGGCACCUUCUUGACUUGCGUGGCUUGAGACAUAUAGCAAUAUAUGCCCUAGAUAAAUGACUAUUUUUGAAGACAGAACCCGGCUUACAGAUUUACUCUU